CAGGUGCUCAUGGACUUCCUCAACCUGGAACAUCCCUCUGCAAGUUCUUUCCCUUUUUCUCUUUAGUGAGUUUCUCCUGGAGCCUGCAUUUUGUGGAGGGCUCAAAAAGAAAACUGAGGGAGGUCGAAGACUGCUACUAUUUCCCAAAGGUAAGGCAACACACAUUCCCAACUGCUCUUCCUUUUUUCAUUUGUUAGUCCAACAAACCUUUUU
rnacentral:lncRNA from 1 species